rnacentral:rRNA from 1 species
GGGUAGCCGGCCUGAGAGGGUGAUCGGCCACACUGGGACUGAGACACGGCCCAGACUCCUACGGGAGGCAGCAGUGGGGAAUAUUGCACAAUGGGCGGAAGCCUGAUGCAGCGACGCCGCGUGGGGGAUGACGGUCUUCGGAUUGUAAACUCCUUUCAGUAGGGACGAAGCGAGAGUGACGGUACCUGCAGAAGAAGCACCGGCCAACUACGUGCCAGCAGCCGCGGUAAUACGUAGGGUGCAAGCGUUGUCCGGAAUUACUGGGCGUAAAGAGCUCGUAGGCGGUUUGUCACGUCGUCUGUGAAAUCCUCCAGCUCAACUGGGGGCGUGCAGGCGAUACGGGCUGACUUGAGUACUACAGGGGAGACUGGAAUUCCUGGUGUAGCGGUGAAAUGCGCAGAUAUCAGGAGGAACACCGGUGGCGAAGGCGGGUCUCUGGGUAGUAACUGACGCUGAGGAGCGAAAGCAUGGGGAGCAAACAGGAUUAGAUACCCUGGUAGUCCAUGCCGUAAACGGUGGGCGCUAGGUGUGGGGUCCUUCCACGGAUUCCGUGCCGUAGCUAACGCAUUAAGCGCCCCGCCUGGGGA